rnacentral:rRNA from 1 species
UACAUGCAAGUCGAACGAAACUUCUUUAUCACCGAGUGCUUGCACUCACCGAUAAAGAGUUGAGUGGCGAACGGGUGAGUAACACGUGGGCAACCUGCCCAAAAGAGGGGGAUAACACUUGGAAACAGGUGCUAAUACCGCAUAACCAUGGUUACCGCAUGGUAACUAUGUAAAAGGUGGCUAUGCUACCGCUUUUGGAUGGGCCCGCGGCGCAUUAGCUAGUUGGGGAGGUAAAGGCUUACCAAGGCGAUGAUGCGUAGCCGAACUGAGAGGUUGAUCGGCCACAUUGGGACUGAGACACGGCCCAAACUCCUACGGGAGGCAGCAGUAGGGAAUCUUCCACAAUGGGCGAAAGCCUGAUGGAGCAACGCCGCGUGGGUGAAGAAGGUCUUCGGAUCGUAAAACCCUGUUGUUAGAGAAGAAAGUGCGUGAGAGUAACUGUUCACGUUUCGACGGUAUCUAACCAGAAAGCCACGGCUAACUACGUGCCAGCAGCCGCGGCAAUACGUAGGUGGCAAGCGUUAUCCGGAUUUAUUGGGCGUAAAGGGAACGCAGGCGGUCUUUUAAGUCUGAUGUGAAAGCCUUCGGCUUAACCGGAGUAGUGCAUUGGAAACUGGGAGACUUGAGUGCAGAAGAGGAGAGUGGAACUCCAUGUGUAGCGGUGAAAUGCGUAGAUAUAUGGAAGAACACCAGUGGCGAAAGCGGCUCUCUGGUCUGUAACUGACGCUGAGGUUCGAAAGCGUGGGUAGCAAACAGGAUUAGAUACCCUGGUAGUCCACGCCGUAAACGAUGAACGCUAAGUGUUGGAGGGUUUCCGCCCUUCAGUGCUGCAGCUAACGCAAUAAGCAUUCCGCCUGGGGAGUACGACCGCAAGGUUGAAACUCAAAGGAAUUGACGGGGGCCCGCACAAGCGGUGGAGCAUGUGGUUUAAUUCGAAGCAACGCGAAGAACCUUACCAGGUCUUGACAUCUUCUGACAAUCCUAGAGAUAGGACUUUCCCUUCGGGGACAGAAUGACAGGUGGUGCAUGGUUGUUGUCAGCUCGUGUCGUGAGAUGUUGGGUUAAGUCCCGCAACGAGCGCAACCCUUAUUGUUAGUUGCUACGCAAGAGCACUCUAACGAGACUGCCGUUGACAAAACGGAGGAAGGUGGGGACGACGUCAAAUCAUCAUGCCCCUUACGUCCUGGGCCACACACGUACUACAAUGGCGGCCAACAAAGAGAGGCAAGACCGCGAGGUGGAGCAAAUCUCAAAAAGCCGUCCCAGUUCGGAUCGCAGGCUGCAACCCGCCUGCGUGAAGUUGGAAUCGCUAGUAAUCGCGGAUCAGCAUGCCGCGGUGAAUACAAACCCGGGCCUUGCACUCACCGCCCGUCA